UGGGGAAUAUUGCGCAAUGGGGGAAACCCUGACGCAGCAACGCCGCGUGAAGGAUGAAGGCCUUCGGGUUGUAAACUUCUUUGAUUGGGGACGAAUAAUGACGGUACCCAAAAAACAAGCCACGGCUAACUACGUGCCAGCAGCCGCGGUAAUACGUAGGUGGCGAGCGUUGUCCGGAAUUACUGGGUGUAAAGGGCGUGUAGGCGGGGAAGUAAGUCAGAUGUGAAAUUCCGAGGCUCAACCUCGGCGCUGCAUCUGAUACUGCAUCUCUUGAGUGCUGGAGAGGAAAGCGGAAUUCCUAGUGUAGCGGUGAAAUGCGUAGAUAUUAGGAGGAACACCAGUGGCGAAGGCGGCUUUCUGGACAGUAACUGACGCUGAGGCGCGAAAGCGUGGGGAGCAAACAGG
rnacentral:rRNA from 2 species